UUCUGAUGUCAAGACGGACAAAGGAUUAUACAAAUUAAGACUCUGCCGUCCCUCAUGAACACACACAACAGUGCCCAAGCAGAAAUGCCAGCAAAGUAAAUUCCGGUUGGCACAUGCCCUCUGCAGGUGGGGCACAUUCCACAAUCGGACAAAUCUGGUGGCUGACCCUCCAACAAAAGCCAGGACUUUUCACCAGAGCUGGCUGACACUGUGACCCCAGCUGCAGGAAAAAUGCCUGGAGGAUUUCCAACACUGCGAUC